rnacentral:rRNA from 1 species
AGUGAACGCUGGCGGCAGGCCUAAUACAUGCAAGUCGAACGGCAGCACAGCAGAGCUUGCUCUGUGGGUGGCGAGUGGCGGACGGGUGAGGAAUACAUGGGAAUCUGCCCAGUCGUGGGGGAUAACGUAUGGAAACGUACGCUAAUACCGCAUGCGCCCUUUGGGGGAAAGCCGGGGACCUUCGGGCCUGGCGCGAUUGGAUGAGCCCAUGUUCGAUUAGCUAGUUGGCGGGGUAAAGGCCCACCAAGGCGACGAUCGAUAGCUGGUCUGAGAGGAUGAUCAGCCACACUGGGGCUGAGACACGGCCCAGACUCCUACGGGAGGCAGCAGUAGGGAAUAUUGGACAAUGGGCGCAAGCCUGAUCCAGCCAUGCCGCGUGAGUGAAGAAGGCCCUCGGGUUGUAAAGCUCUUUUGUCCGGAAAGAAAAGCAUUCGGUUAAUACCCGGGUGUUCUGACGGUACCGGAAGAAUAAGCACCGGCUAACUUCGUG